rnacentral:rRNA from 1 species
GAUGAACGCUGGCGGCGUGCCUAACACAUGCAAGUCGAACGAAGCGCCGUACCGGAUUCUUCUCUUGAAGUUCUGGUGGCUGAGUGGCUGACGGGUGAGUAACGCGUCUGUAACCUUCCCUGUACAUGGGGAUAACAGCUCUAAACGGCUGCUAUUACUUCAUCAGCGCACGAGGAGACAUCUCCUUGUGUUUAAUACUCCGUUUGUACAGGAUGGCCCCGCAUCUGAUUAUCUGGUUGGUAGGGUAACGCCCUACCAAGGCUACGAUCAGUAGCCGGUCGGAGAGGCUGAACGCAGACAUUGGAACUGAGAAACGGUCGAGAAUCUUCCGGGAUGCAGGAGUGGGGAAUAUUGCAAAGUGGGGGGAAUGAUGAUGCAGCAACGCCGGGUAAGUGCAGAAGUAUUUGAAGAUGAAAAGCUCUAUCAGCAGGGAACAUAAUGACGGUACCUGACUAAGAAGCUCCGGCUAACUACGUG